CUCUGCCUACCCCUACGGGAAAGAGGCGUGAUUAUAUAUGGACCGACGACUUAAAGAGGGUAGCUGGUGGUAACUGGAUGGCUAAAGGUGAAAGCACGAUUCAAAGCAGAAGAGUAAGAGAAGAGUUGACCACCAUCUUAGACGGUAGUGUUGUACAUAAUUGACAUAUAAAAACCUUGUAACAAAAUAAUGAUCUUAAGACAAAUUUAUUUUAACAAAAUAUCAUAGAAGUCACAACAAAAACAUAAUCAAUGACUAUCCUUUUAUUUUCUUGGUUUACCUAUAAUCAUCAGUCGUUAAAUAUCACGUAGAAAGCUUUCUACACAUGUAAUGUAUGUGUAACUAUGUGCGAAAGGUAGAUAAAGAGAUAAUUUACUC